GACGAACGCUGGCGGCGUGCCUAAUACAUGCAAGUUGAGCGAUGAAGAUUGGUGCUUGCACCCAUUUGAAGAGCAGCGAACGGGUGAGUAACGCGUGGGGAAUCUGCCUUUGAGCGGGGGACAACAUUUGGAAACGAAUGCUAAUACCGCAUAACAACUUUAAACAUAAGUUUUAAGUUUGAAAGAUGCAAUUGCAUCACUCAAAGAUGAUCCCGCGAUGUAUUAGCUAGUUGGUGAGGUAAAGGCUCACCAAGGCGAUGAUACAUAGCCGACCUGAGAGGGUGAUCGGCCACAUUGGGACUGGGACACGGCCCAAACUCCUACGGGAGGCAGCAGUAGGGAAUCUUCGGCAAUGGACGAAAGUCUGACCGAGCAACGCCGCGUGAGUGAAGAAGGUUUUCGGAUCGUAAAACUCUGUUGGUAGAGAAGAACGUUGGUGAGAGUGGAAAGCUCAUCAAGUGACGGUAACUACCCAGAAAGGGACGGCUAACUACGUG
rnacentral:rRNA from 1 species